rnacentral:rRNA from 1 species
UGAGGAAUAUUGGUCAAUGGGAGUAAUCCUGAACCAGCCAUGCCGCGUGCAGGACGACGGCUCUACGAGUUGUAAACUGCUUUUGUACCGGGGUAAAAUGCUCUACGAGUAGGGUUUUGAAAGUACGGUACGAAUAAGGAUCGGCUAACUCCGUGCCAGCAGCCGCGGUAAUACGGAGGAUCCGAGCGUUAUCCGGAUUCAUUGGGUUUAAAGGGUGCGUAGGUUGCUUUAUAAGUUAGCGGUGAAAUACCGAUGCUCAACAUCGGGGCUGCCGCUAAUACUGUAGGACUAGAGAUCGGAUGCAGCAGGCGGAAUGUGUAGUGUAGCGGUGAAAUGCAUAGAUAUUACACAGAACACCGAUUGCGAAGGCAGCUUUGCUAGGCCCGGAUCUGACACUGAUGCACGAAAGCGUGGGGAUCGAACAGGAUUAGAUACCC